AUUGAACGCUAGCGGCAUGCUUUACACAUGCAAGUCGAACGGCAGCGCGGGCUUCGGCCUGGCGGCGAGUGGCGAACGGGUGAGUAAUGCAUCGGAACGUGCCCAGUAGUGGGGGAUAGCCCGGCGAAAGCCGGAUUAAUACCGCAUACGACCUGAGGGUGAAAGCGGGGGACCGAAAGGCCUCGCGCUAUUGGAGCGGCCGAUGUCGGAUUAGCUAGUUGGUGGGGUAAAGGCUUACCAAGGCGACGAUCCGUAGCUGGUCUGAGAGGACGACCAGCCACACUGGGACUGAGACACGGCCCAGACUCCUACGGGAGGCAGCAGUGGGGAAUUUUGGACAAUGGGGGCAACCCUGAUCCAGCCAUGCCGCGUGCGGGAAGAAGGCCUUCGGGUUGUAAACCGCUUUUGUUCGGGAAGAAAUCCUCUGGGCUAAUACCCCGGGGGGAGGACGGUACCGGAAGAAUAAGCACCGGCUAACUACGU
rnacentral:rRNA from 1 species